GACGAACCGUGCGAACGUUGUUCGGAAUCACUGGGCUUAAAGGGCGCGUAGGCGGUCAAUCAAGUCGGGGGUGAAAUCUUGCAGCUUAACUGUAAAAGUGCCUUCGAUACUGAUUGACUCGAGGGAGGUAGGGGCAGGUGGAACUUCCAGUGGAGCGGUGAAAUGUGUUGAUAUUGGAAGGAACGCCGGUGGCGAAAGCGACCUGCUGGAUCUCUUCUGACGCUGAGGCGCGAAAGCUAGGGGAGCAAAC
rnacentral:rRNA from 1 species